rnacentral:lncRNA from 1 species
AUAAUUUUGACUAGUAUUAAUAAAUGAGUAAAAUACAUUAACCACCCCGGUAGAUAACCAUUAUAAUAACAUUUACCACCCCUCUAAUUUUUUAAGUAACAAUCAGUACCCCUCUAAUCUAUAAUACGUGACAUUCACCACCAUUAAUAUAGUUGACCAACUAAAAUUCACAAAUAUUUUUAAUAUAAUAUCUAAUAUACCCUUCAAGUUCUCAAAUGAAAGAGAGUGAGACUGUAUAAAACUAUCAGUUCCCAAAUUUAAUACUCUAAAAAGAAUUGGAUUUAAACACGUGCAUUAAUCACAAAAGAUGGACAGAAAACACAAGAAGCUGCCAAUGGAAAUGACCAUUUCCAGCUCAAGGCAUUCAAUACACAGAUGACAAACUAGAAGCCGAAACCGUCUAAAACAUAACAUAAGCUGGAAAUUUAUAACAAUGUUUAAAGUCGUAAAAAAAGGGGUUGUUCACGUCGGCGACAGUUCUUAAUUUAUAAAAGGUUUUGA